GACGAACGCUGGCGGCGUGCUUAACACAUGCAAGUCGAACGGAAAGGCUCUGCUUUUGUGGGGUGCUCGAGUGGCGAACGGGUGAGUAACACGUGAGUAACCUGCCCUUGACUUUGGGAUAACUUCAGGAAACUGGGGCUAAUACCGGAUAGGAGCUCCUGCUGCAUGGUGGGGGUUGGAAAGUUUCGGCGGAUGGGGAUGGACUCGCGGCUUAUCAGCUUGUUGGUGGGGUAGUGGCUUACCAAGGCUUUGACGGGUAGCCGGCCUGAGCGGGUGACCGGCCACAUUGGGACUGAGAUACGGCCCAGACUCCUACGGGAGGCAGCAGUGGGGAAUAUUGCACAAUGGGCGGAAGCCUGAUGCAGCAACGCCGCGUGCGGGAUGACGGCCGUCGGGUUGUAAACCGCUUUCGCCUGUGACGAAGCGUGAGUGACGGUAAUGGGUAAAGAAGCACCGGCUAACUACGUG
rnacentral:rRNA from 1 species